rnacentral:rRNA from 1 species
AGUCUGACGGAUCACGCCGCGUGAGUGAUGAAGGUUUUCGGAUCGUAAAACUCUGUUGUUAGGGAAGAACAAGUGCAUAGUAACUGAUGGCGCCUUGACGGUACCUAACCAGAAAGCCACGGCUAACUACGUGCCAGCAGCCGCGGUAAUACGUAGGUGGCAAGCGUUGUCCGGAAUUAUUGGGCGUAAAGCGCUCGCAGGCGGUUCUUUAAGUCUGAUGUGAAAUCUUACGGCUCAACCGUAAACGUGCAUUGGAAACUGGGGAACUUGAGUGCAGAAGAGGAGAGUGGAAUUCCACGUGUAGCGGUGAAAUGCGUAGAGAUGUGGAGGAACACCAGUGGCGAAGGCGACUCUCUGGUCUGUAACUGACGCUGAGGAGCGAAAGCGUGGGGAGCGAACAGGAUUAGAUACCCUGGUAGUCCACGCCGUUAACGAUGAGUGCUAGGUGUCAGGGGGUUUCCGCCCCUUAGUGCUGAAGUUAACGCAUUAAGCACUCCGGCUGGGGAGUACGGACGCAAGGCUGAAACUCAAAAGAAUUGACCGGGGGCCCCGCACAAGCGGUGGAGCCUGUGGUUAAUUCGAAGCACGCGAAGACCUUACCGGUCUUGACAUCUCUUACAUCUAGAAUGAGUUUCCUUCGGGACG